AUUAGAUACCCGCGUAGUCCCAGCUGUAAACGAUGCGCGUUAGGUGUAUCGGUGACCACGAGUCACCGAGGUGCCGAAGGGAAACCGUGAAACGUGCCGCCUGGGAAGUACGGUCGCAAGGCUGAAACUUAAAGGAAUUGGCGGGGGAGCACCACAACAGGUGGAGCCUGCGGUUUAAUCGGACUCAACACCGGGAAGCUCACCGGAUAAGACAGCUGAAUGAUAGCCGGGUUGAAGACUCUGCUUGACUAGCUGAGAGGAGGUGCAUGGC
rnacentral:rRNA from 1 species